UACGUAGGGGGCGAGCGUUGUCCGGAUUUAUUGGGCGUAAAGAGCGUGUAGGCGGCUUGGUAGGUCUGCUGUGAAAACUCGGGGCUCAACCCCGAGACGUCGGUGGAAACCACCUGGCUAGAGUCCGGAAGAGGAGAGUGGAAUUCCUGGUGUAGCGGUGAAAUGCGCAGAUAUCAGGAAGAAUAUCCGUGGCGAAGGCGGCUCUCUGGGACGGUACUGACGCUGAGACGCGAAAGCGUGGGGGAGCGAACAGG
rnacentral:rRNA from 1 species